GAUGAACUUUGGCGGCGUGCUUAACACAUGCAAGUCGAACGGGAUCCAUCAUGCUUUGCUUGGUGGUGAGAGUGGCGAACGGGUGAGUAAUGCGUGACCGACCUGCCCCAUACACCGGAAUAGCUCCUGGAAACGGGUGGUAAUGCCGGAUGCUCCGACUCCUCGCAUGGGGUGUCGGGAAAGAUUCAUCGGUAUGGGAUGGGGUCGCGUCCUAUCAGGUAGUCGGCGGGGUAACGGCCCACCGAGCCUACGACGGGUAGCCGGCCUGAGAGGGCGACCGGCCACAUUGAGACUGAGAUACGGCCCACACUCCUACGGGAGGCAGCAGUGGGGAAUAUUGCACAAUGGGCGCAAGCCUGAUGCAGCGACGCCGCGUGCGGGAUGACGGCCUUCGGGUUGUAAACCGCUUUUGAUCGGGAGCACGCCUUCGGGUGAGUGUACCUUUCGAAUAAGCACCGGCUAACUACGUGCCAGCAGCCGCGGUAAUACGUAGGGUGCAAGCGUUAUCCGGAAUUAUUGGGCGUAAAGGGCUCGUAGGCGG
rnacentral:rRNA from 1 species